AUUUUUUAUUUUAUGUUUGACCCACAUGUUCCGGAUAAGUUGUACAGUGUACAUGCAACGGGUAGCCAAGCAGGGCUGCAUUUUUAUUUUCACAUACUCAUUUGUUUGACAAGCAUUGGAACACAAUGGAAUUAACCACACUCACGUCAAUAAAGGUUAAACUACUGCAAUAGAUCUUGAUGUGAAGGUCUUAGGCAGCAUGGCAUUAAAAUGACUAAACAUUGUUCUAUUUUGCGGGCUUGGAUUUCAUGCAAGCUGGUUUCAUAAGAUUGUGUCAAUGUACGCAGAUAUCAUUUUAAUCAUUUCUGUAGUAUCAAACAAAUGUAGAUGGCAAACAAUAACAAGAAAUUAGAUUAAAUCGGUCAUAAACAGAUCCUCAUUGUCAAUUUUUUAAAAUAAACCACAAUGUUUUAAACUUUAUACCUUUAAUAUUGUCUCAACUCUGGAGUCUGUUUCUUGUUGAUGAAUCAAGAUAAACUCAACCUUGUUAGC
rnacentral:sRNA from 1 species